rnacentral:SRP_RNA from 1 species
UGCCAACCAGGUGUCCACACUAAGUUCAGCACCAAUAUGGUGACCUCCUGGGAGCAGGGGACCACCAGGUUGCCUAAGGGUGGGUGAACUGGCCCAGGUCAGAAAUGGAGCAGGUCGGAACUCCCAUGCCUGUUGGUAGUGGGACUGCACCUGGGCA